ensembl:lncRNA
AUGUUAAUUACAAUCUCCUAUGUCCCCGCAUCUCCUGACUCCAGCACAGUAGGCAUGCAUGACAGAAUACCGGACCAAGACAGCAUGGAAACCGCUGCACGCUUCAUCGCGUGGUUGUCAAGCCCACCGGCUGCAGCUCACUCAAGCCCAUCGGCCACUAAGAAGUCAAGCCAGCCGGCUGUUCCCGAAACAGGCCCACUGGCCGCAGCUCUCUCAAGCAUGCCUAUUUUUAGAGUUUACCUCGAAAUAAAAUGCCAUUUUAUAGUGAAAGUGAAAGUGACGUGACAUUCAGCCAAGUAUGGUGACCCAUACUCAGAAUUCGUGCUCUGCAUUUAACCCAUCCGAAGUGCACACACACAGAGCAGUGAACACACACACACUGUGAACACACACCCGGAGCAGUGGGCAGCCAUUUUUAUGCUGCGGCGCCCGGGGAGCAGUUGGGGGUUCGAUGCCUUGCUCAAGGGCACCUAAGUCAUGGUAUUGAAGGUGGAGAGAGAACUGUACAUGCACUCCCCCCACCAACAAUUCCUGCCGGCCCGAGACUCGAACUCACAACCCUUCGAUUGGGAGUCCGACUCUCUAACCAUUAGGCCACGACUUAGGCCAGUGACUUCUCUUUAUAAGAGAAGUCACUGACUUUUUGCGACAGGUGGGAUUCGGCUUAUGGUACUUCCUAUUCAUUCCUAUAGUAAACUGCGAUUGAGUGUCGCACAACUCUGACUGAAAAUCAGUGAUGUCAAGGCUGUAAUGUGAUUGGUUAUUAAGGGACACGUGAUCCAAGCUAGCCGUUAUGCUUUCUCCAAAAGUAAGUAAUACAGACCCUUUAAUCUCCCUAUAGUAAGACAAUCUCUGGAUGAGUGCCCAUAUCAAAGCCACUGGAAGGCAAGCCUGCAACCUUAAGCCAAACAACUACUGCUAACGCUUCUGCUUUGGCGGUACGCAGGGGAGGGGACCAGAGGCCAUUUUGUUUGAAUGGAUGUCAAUGGAGGCUUCACUAAGCAGAAUAAACAGCUUUUUUUGAGGAAACAGCUUAACAUUUAAUGAAUCGACAGCCUAUCGGCUAAUCUUCAGCAUGUUUUACACUAAACAAUAAAUAUGUAAAUAAAAACAAUAAAUAAAACAAUUACAUGGCACACUUUACUGAAAUAAUUAGAUGGAGAUAAUGGAGUUAACAAGUUUUUGGCCGGCGAAUGAGGAGAUCUGUGUUUUGUCUGUCAAUAGAACGGCCGCAUCUGAGGCAAGUGCAUCGCAUUAUACACUUUCAUCAACAUUUACGUUUAUUGUUGCUAUAUGGGUUCUUAGUUUUUCUUGUUGUUUAAUACACUUGGCCAAAAUCUCAUGAUAUAAACGAUUAAGCGCUUAUAUUUAAAACGUACAAAAGUAUAUUGGCUAGAUGGCAAAUAACCUACUACUCCAGUCUUCAAACACAAAAAAACAUUAGCCUUUACAGAUAGUGUUUGAGUAAAGAAAAUGCUGUACUAUUCAAACAACACCAGUUAUUUAUUUACCCUUGCAUUGCGAAAAAGCGGAGAUCUUUCUCCUCCAAGCUGUGCACGGCAUGUCAAUCUGAGUAGAGGUGGGGGGAAGUUACGAGGUUUCGCUGAGAGCUUGAGGAUCCAAUGGCGUUGCAAAGUUUUACUGACAUGCUCUUUUUAAUACUUAUCAUAGGUUAAAUAUUUGUAAAACCCUCUGAUUUAAAAUAAUAAUAACGAAUUAUAAUAGAGAUAUGAAGUUUGGAUAAUUUUUUAUGGCACACCUGACUGGGCUAGGGUAUGGCAAGUGCCAUACUUUGCCAUACGGAAAUGCCGCCCCUGUUCCUAUGGUUUCCCUAAAUGGCGACUGAGUGUGGCAGAACUCUAAUUGAAAUUAAAUGACUGAUUUGAAUAAUUUGAUUGAUUAUCAAGGUACACGUAAUCCAAGUUGACCGUUACGCUUUCUCCAAUAGUAAGUAAUACGGUAAACCAUAGAUAUGAAUAGGUUGAUUCCUCAUUCGAUUGCUCCAAGCACUUAGAUGCGUCCACCAUCAUGAAAUGGUCUAUGUUGUCACUCACAAUAAAAAUCAAUGAGUUUCAAGAUGCAACAAUAUUGCACAGCAUCUGGUUGUAAAAAAAAAAAAAAAAAACUAAAUUUAAAUUCCUGAAGAAGCUGAAUAAACUUUCACAGGUAAGAAUGUGUUGGUUUGUGUUUUUAAUAUCUAUUAACUCAAUAUUUCAGUACAUUUGCCUUAUAGCUAAUGGCUAUGUCUUGUUGUAUUGUGUUUAGCAAAAGCAUCUUCUGAAGUUUACUGUAGAUAUAUAUUGUUCACACAUGCGUAUAACUACUCUCGCAUAUUCAUGGACCAGUGUUGAUAUUCCAGUAUGGUGGACAGCUUAUGUAUAACAGCCCAUAGAAACAGCCACUAAUAAGGAAUCUACCUAUACAUAUAUAUGAUGUAGACCCUCUCAUCUCCCAAUAGUGACAAAUGUGCAUCCGAAAUUAGGUAGGUACUACAUUUGAAUUCAAAUUUAUUUCACGACUGUUAAAAAAUAUGUUCUAAAUUGUAUGAAUGAGGGUAGUAUGAAUGAAAUCCAGACGUACUGCAUCCACCUUGGUGCUACUGUCACAUGACCCACCAGUUUUCCUUCAUUUCCAUUCCAAUAUCCUCUCCUGUGGCCUCAUGGGAUAGUAAAGUGUCCAUGCACACUUCAGAAUUACACCGGAAGUAUAUCAUCCGGGUACUUCUAGGAAUUCGGACAUACUAAUCGGCUCACAUACUGUUUUACACAUACUAUAUAGUAGGGAAGUAUACAAUUUCAGACGCAGCUAAUCUCU